UUCAAUACUGAAGAUGACUAUUUUAAUUUCUGAUGUAUUCUCAUUUCAUAUCCCUUCAUUGUAACUGUAACUGGCUUCAGAAAAAACGGAGUGAUGAAUAAGUUGACAACACAUUGGUGUACAAAAAAUGCAUCAACGACUGCAGCUUAUACUGUUCUUUUCUCAUCUUGGAAUGUGUGGACUGAAUAUUUCCUGUUGCACUUUGUUUUCAUAAGUCAAAGACACAUGAUACUCUAAAUGUCAAAUAUCUUCUAAUCAUUACAUCUACUCAUUACAAUAGCACAUUUCC